UGAAUGAAUUUACAAAUUUAGAAAUAGUAAAUAUUUUUAGAUUUUGAUAAUUUCCGAUAAAAUUUGUUAAAAAAUUCGUUAGAAAAAAAAAAAUGACAUUCUGCGUCAUUUAAAAGAAACCGUACUUUUGAAGAGGAAUGUUCGAAUAAGUGUUGAUGCAUCUCUGAAAAAAAUCACCGCAAAAAAAUCUAGGCAAUUUGAAUUACACUUUUUACAUUAUUCUAACCUAACCAUUUUAGAACAAGUCCAGAGUCGACAAAGUUUCGAGAUUCGAGGGGAGUAUAUAUCCAGCGAGAAGGAAUCUAGUGAGUCAGAGCGAGUCUAGGGAAUUUUGGCGCGGGAACAAGGGCCGCAGAUGCGUUUCCCGUCCAGAUGUAUCCACGUCCGUGGAGAUACGCGCGCAUUAGCCUGUACACAGGCUUGGAAACGGCGUGUGUAGGUCCACCUGAGCGAGCAGACGAGCGAGUGAGCACGGAGGAGAAGGUGUCUCACAUGGGUGCCUCUGUUCCCUGCAACACGAGUCCCACAGAUGGGGGAGACAUCCGGGCAGCUGACGUUCAAAUGAAACUGACUGACUGACUUCGGCUUAACCGACUCCACAUCCUCCUUCGAUUAAGGAGAACUACGUCCGGGAGAGAAACGUUGGAGAACGUUUGGAGGAUGGAACGUUUAUAUAUCCCGUCGAAUUGUUUUCCCAAAGGGAGGAGGAGGGGAGAGAGAGAGAGGGAAGGAGGGAGAAAGAGAGGUCCGUUGCCCCUGUCUCUUCUUCAUCGAUCCCACGGAUCCUCUUUGUCUCGAACGUUUCUUCGUUUCGAACGGAGGAGGAAACUUGGAGUAGAUGGAAGAUUCCUCCUUUGAAAAAUUAUUUCUUGAUUUUAAUCCCGUUGAGAAUCGGGGUUUUCAAUUUUGAAGGAAUAUGUAAACGAUAUAUCUCUUCUAUAAGAAACUUGGAGGAAGAAUGUGGAAAAGUUUCUUUACCACAAGCAAAAGAGAUUAUUCAGGGAAUUUGUUUAAUUUUUCCUUCCUUUUUGCGAUUUUGUGAAAACGUUUUGGAAAAAUAGAAAUAGAUAUAUUUAUAACAGUAUAAUAAUUUUACUUUUUUAAAAUUCUAAUUGGCGCGAUAAUGGUAAUUAUAAUUAGUAUUAUAAUAGUUUUUAAGGAAAUAGCCAUUAUUCUAAUACGUCUUGUACAUUGAUAAAAUAACAUGUAAAUACUUAAUUAUGUCUUUAAAUAAGUUUGUGGUUACACAACUUUUACGCAUUACUUUAUUGUUUGGCCCUGAAUAGUCGUGAUAGCUAAUAGUCAGAAACUGGAUAAUAUAGUUGUACAAAAUAUAAACAAAAAAUUAUAAUAUAAAUAUAAUCAAUUACCAAAUGAA